AGCAGUGCUCUUUUUCAGCUACAAGGGAAAAUGAAAAAGGGAAAAGGAAGACAAGCAUACAUUCCCUUUGUUCUUAUUUUCAGGAACAGGUGUGCUAAUCUACGAGUGCUGGGUUGCAUGACAUGGAAAGCCAUGACUGGCUCCAAAGGACAGCUUGGCACCUGAGGACUAGCUGGAGAUUUGUGGGGAAUACAGCUGUGAUGUUCUCAGAUUUGACUUCACACAAUGUCCAGGAUUAUAAAGAACUGAGAGAAGUAUUAAAAUGUUUUAAAAAUACACCAUUCCUUACCACACUAAGUUUUGACCACUGGCUCUUCUGUAAAUCUGGUUCUUUAGUUUGGUGGAAAUUGCCUAUAUGCUAUGGAGGGAGAAGGGGCUGA
rnacentral:lncRNA from 1 species